AUUUCUUCUGUUCCCUUCAAUUCGUGACCUUGGAUCUGGUCAGGAGAAGCUGAGUUUGAGCUUGGGAAGGUCAUGGUCACAGGAAAGAAGAGCAGCUGAUCGGAGAUCUUGUAUCCAGUGAUCUUCCUGAAUUAGUUUAUCAGUUCUAGUAAGGUAUGUCUGCAUGUGUGUGUGUGUUUGUGUGUGUGUGUGUAUUCCUUAGAAUUUUUUAUGUAUUGAGGAAGCAUGACUGGGAGGCCUCAGGAAACUUACAGUCAUGGCAGAAGGCAAAGGG
rnacentral:lncRNA from 10 species